ACAAAUAUUCAUUCUUUUCCAUGUUUUUUUUUCCUUUUUCUUUUUUGUUCUUUCCCCUUUUACUUCACUAGCUUUAUUCUAACCUUUCAUUGCUCCGACGAGGCAAUCGGAGUGCUGCCGUGGCCGCUGAUUCAACGCACCGCCCCCGCUGAUCCCCGUUGCUGAUUACCCGACACCGAUUUUGUAUUUACGGCCAUAUGUUGAAAUAGUUUUCUGGUGCGCCGAUGAGCUGAACUGAUGUUAUUGACAGUCGAAGGUGGAGGAUUCUUCUCUUCUUCAGCUUCAGGAUAUAGUAAGGGUUUGACCCUUCUUCUCUUGGGCCAGAGGACUGAGGAUAAAUCCAUGAGGGUUUUGCCGUUGAGCCAGUUCCAGUUGGUAGGCCAAGAAUCUGACCGCGAGCUCCAGCUGGCUUCCAGAAAGAAACGUCUCUCCAGCAGGUGCGCUUCCUUUGUUUGCUUCGGCUGUGCCUCUGCAAGGCUUGACACUGCAUCUCAUGUUAAAGUGGUCCAUGCCAAACACCAUGAUGUCUCUUCAGGGACCCUGGUUUCCAACAAGGGCAAGUAUCCUCCUAACAAUGUAAAUGAUGAUAAUAGAAAGGUUGCACUUAAAAGUAGCUUAAAAGGGCAAGGAAAUAGAAAACCAGUUCUUGUCGAGGCUGUUGCUGAACAUGAGGCAUCAGGUGGAAAGGAGAAUGAUACUCAUGUCCAAACAGAGAGAAGGAAAGUGCAAUGGACUGAUGCUUGUGGUAGUGAGCUUGUUCAAUUACAUGAAUUUGAGCCCAGCGAAGUGUCAUCUGAUGAAUUUGAGUACGGGAAUAACAAAACUUGUUCCUGUGCUAUAAUGUAAAUUGGCGUUCCAAACGAUAGACCCAUUUUUUCGGUGUCAAUUUGUUCAUUGCUAACAUACUCCAUCACUGAGCAUAAGGAAAAGGAGCAGAUGUUUUCAGUCUAGUGGAGAUCCAUAUGCCAUCUCUUGCCCGAGCAAUCAUUUGUCUCCAUAAAUGCUUGCUGUGGCCUUCAAUUUUGUUCCUCUGUUUUUCAUCAAUUUUGUAUAUAAUCUGUCAUCUGAAUUCUUUGGCUUUUGUCUUCUGAAUUUUGUAUGUAAUCUGUUCUAGGUUUUUAUUCUUUAUGUACAACUUCAACAAAGUUUGUUUUGUUUAUAUAUAUAUAUAUAUAUAUUUAUAUUUAUAUUUAUAUA